ACUCAUUUUAACGAUUAACAUUAAAAAUAAGAUUUUCUGGUUAAUGUCGAAAACAAUAAAAACGGAAUAAGAUUAAAAUUUUUUCACCUUUGGGAAUAUCUGUUCCAGCUGUAUGCGCUUUAAUGACAUCGAAAUCCGAGGCUCUUUACUAGCUUGUUUUUUCCAAAAUAAAAGAAGUUUUAGAUUUCUCUCCAGUCACCAUUAUGUCAGAUUUUGAACGAGGACUACAGAAUGCUUUAAAAACAACUUGGAGUGAAAGCUUGGUGAAUGGUUGCAGGUUUCAUUUCGAAAAUGCAAUCACCAAGCAAUUAGCAAUUCUUGGUUUUCAGAGGGAAUACCGCCACCAAAUUCAAGUAAAGAAGUGGGUACGAAAAGUUUCAGCACUUUGUCUCCUUCCUGCAAACAAGAUCUUGGUUGCAAUUGCAGUUAUUGAGAUUGCACAAUUUAGUCGCGAAAUCAAAAUUAAACUACUUGCUUUUAAAAAGUAUUUUGAGAGUUAUUGGCUCAAUAUAGUGACCCCAGAAGGAUUCAGUGUUUAUAGCUUGAACCACAAAACCAAUAACAAUGCAGAGAGUCUCAAUAGACGUUUGAAAUCAAACACGGGUGAUCGACAUGGAGGAUUUUGACAGUUUAUGAAAUUGCUUAACCAGCAUGUAAUAGUCCAUACAAUUCAAGAGCUUCAACAGCUUGCCUGCAAUCAGCCAGUCCGCCGUGACCAACGCGACUAUGGUGCAAUUGAAAAAAUUGUUGUUUUGAGAAAAACUUCGAGACGGAGUUUGGACAACUGAGAGAUUCCUAUCAACAGUAUCAUAUCUCUUUCAAAACUUCAAAGUAGUUGCUUUGGAUGAAAACUCAAUGAACGAGGUUGGUGAGAGUCUUCCUUUGCCAACUUCUACCUCAACAGAGUCACCAAAGUGCGUUGUUUGUACCUUCAAUGAACUAAAUGCAUUAGUAAUGCCUUGCAGUCAUUUUUUGUUUUGUCAGUCCUGCAUUCAACAAGUCCAAAAAAGCAACACAGCUCAUUGUCCCACUUGCCGAGGACCAAUAUCAUCUAUAAUAAACCUUUUCAAUGAUUCAGUAAAAUUUUCCCUUUUACCUAUAUUUUAAAAACUAGAA